rnacentral:lncRNA from 1 species
UGACUCUGACUGCUUUUGAUUCAGAAGAGCAGAGUUGAGUGGCGACGGGGACCUUAUAGUUUGCAUAGCCUGAAAUAUUUACUGUCUGACUCAUUACAGAAAAAUCUCAAGUCAGAAGAAAGCUUUGCUGAGGCAACAUGAAGGCGUAAGACCCGAUGAAGGUAUACUGUACAGCUCCCAGGUGAUGCUGAUGCUGCUGGUUCUUGGACCACACUUUGAACAUAAGCACAUAAACUGAAGCGGACAUAUAAACUGUCAGAAUUAGACUUGAUGCUUCAGGAUGGGAUGAGGAGACUCAGCUGUCAUUAGAGUCCUUGAUGAGGACAACUGUCCCACUAUGGCUCAAGAUGCCUGAGCAUCACCUGAUUUCAGUAAUGGCUACUACUGAUGGGUUUCUCACGGUCUUCUCAUGCUGUCUUGUGGAAGUGCUUGAAUUUUCUUCCUGAUGCUUAAGGUAUUUGCAUCUGCCCGCUGCCCAGUCCCAUUGUGAACGAGCAUCUCGAUGCCUGGGGGUGGAGAUAAAGGAGAUGUGGGAGGCUGAGCUGAAUCUUUACAGGUCCCAGAGAAGAGAUUUUACAAACUAAACAUUUGAUAUAAGCUUAUGAGUGGUCUCUUGCUUGUAAAACUUAAAUGUAGUAAACAAUUAAGAAUUAUAGUCUUGAAUUUUUAGUUAAGGUUUUAUGAUGCAAGCUUUGUAGAUUUUUGUCCAGUUGAAUUAGUUGAAGACAUUUGGCAUAAAAAUGGAAGGGUUUUCCUGUCUUAUUAAACAAAGAUCAUCACACUUUUUCCAUUAUUUACUGGUUUCAAAGUCUGAAGAAUUUCUAAUUAUGGAAGAUGACAAAAAGCAAUAAUUAAAUAGUCAGUUGCAAGACACUUGCCACGUGAACUUACCAUGUCUGUGGAUUUUGUCUACUGACUUGGAGUGGAACUAGCCCUGGGGAAAAGAUGAUAAUAACUGAAAAAAUUACAUACAUCCUGGCAUCCAGGUAUUUCUAUACAUAACUCUCCUACCUACACAUGGGAAUCCUAAUACUUAUUCCUGGCUCAGCAAGUAAGGUCAUUAUUUUACAGUAAGUGUAUUAGUCUGUUUGGGCUACUAUAAUGAAAUCCCAGAGACGGGGCAGCUUAUAAAAAAUAUGCCUCAAUUUCUCAGUUCUGGCUGCUGGGAAGUUGAUAUCAAGGCACCAUAAGAUCCUGUGUCUGGUGAGAGCCUGCUUCCUCACUGACGGGUACCUUUUUGCUGUAACCUCACAUAGUGAAAGGGGCAAGAGAGCCUUCCCAGCCCUCUUUUAUAAGGGAGCUAAUCCCAUUCGUGAGAGCUCUGCCUUGUGACCCAAUUGCCUCCCAAAGGCUCCACUUACUAAUCAACUUGGGGGUUUGGAUUCCAAGACAUGGCAGUUUAAGGUGGGGACACAAACAUUCAGGCCACAGCAAGA